rnacentral:rRNA from 1 species
UACGUAGGGUGCGAGCGUAAUCGGAAUUACUGGGCGUAAAGCGCACGUAGCGGGUCGUUAAGUCAGGGGUGAAAUCCCGGAGCUCAACUCCGGAACUGCCUUUGAUACUGGCGACCUUGAGGCCGAAGAGGUUAGUGGAAUUCCCAGUGUAGAGGUGAAAUUCGUAGAUAUUGGGAAGAACACCAGUGGCGAAGGCGGCUAACUGGUCCGGAUCUGACGCUGAGGUGCGAAAGCGUGGGGAGCAAACAGG